rnacentral:tRNA from 1 species
GCGCCCUUAGCUCAGCUGGAUAGAGCGUCUGGCUACGAACCAGAAGGUCGGGAGUUCGAAUCUCUCAGGGCGCA